GGCGGUAAAUACAUCAAUCCUACGCAUGUUUUGAGUCUUGACAGGCGGCAGCAAAUCGGAGUCUUCCUCAUAGCUGAGCACUUGAGAGGAACUGUUGGCUGAUCUGUUUUUACUAGCCAUUCUCACCUUACAAAGGAAGAAACUGAAUUUAAGGAAAGAACAUGAGUGAGCGCUAGUCCAGUGAUGGCAGCCAUGACCUCUGCCCACCUCAUUAGUGCAUUCUGUACCUAAAAGAAAGGCAAGAAAAAAAAAAUGCCUCUCCACUCUACUGUGGUCUCAUCAGAACCAUGUACUGGGGGGGCCUGUCCUCAAAUACAACUGAGUCUGAAUGCUAAACACAGAAUAAACCCAACUAUCCCUGCCGCUGUAACUCAGCUUAUACGAGAACUUAGCCCUGCUCCUUUUCUUUCCUAUAGUUAGUCAGAGGACAAAUAUUCGUGACUGAUGAAGACCUGAGUACUUCAUGUCUCACUUUGCAGCGCAUAAAUGGGAAUUACAGAAGUCUCGAUGGGUUUUUCCUGACAAACACAAGUCAGGAUAGAUAAAAGCAGGAAGCUGUGAGUUAACAGAGCCUGUGGUCAGCCAUUCUUGCUCAUAGACUUCACCAUCUGUUUUAUUUGCAGGCAGGAACCACCUUGCUUUCCUCUGAAGCUCCCUUCCUAGAAAGGUCAG
rnacentral:lncRNA from 1 species